GCGCCAGUAGCUCAGCUUGGAUANNCGUUUCCACGAGCUUUUCUUACGCGAGCCGCAGGCGAGUCGUAAGAAAUCGGGGGUUCAAAUCCUCCCUGGCGCG
rnacentral:tRNA from 1 species